AUUUCCUAGACUACUUUGUCAGCUGGCUUCUCACUGGGCCCCAUCAACUACAAAGAAAUUGGAAGGAGUUCUUAACCUGGGAUCCAGAAAAAGAAUUCAGUGACCUGUGAAUCUGGAUGGGAACCUUUUCAUUAACCUCUACAUGAAGUUUUGCGAUUUCUUCAAGAUUUCUUCAAGAUUAUAGGCAAAAAAAAUCAUUAUUCUGGGAAGGGAUUCACAGGCUUCACCAGAUUACCAGAGGUCCAUGGCACAAAAAAAGGCUGAGAACUCCCGCACUGUAACAUACACAGAGUAGAUUAAAAGAAAAGAAAAACCCAACAGAUGGAAAUAGGAUUGACAACCUUCAGGUCCACUGGAUUAGAAAUUCUGUUAGUGGGGGAAGAGAAAAGUGGUUUCUGCCAGAAAACACAGAAGUAUUCUGAGGCAAUGAUAACUGGUUAUCUGGGACUCCUUACUGGACCACCAUGCUAAGUUAAGAGCUACCAUAUUGGAUUUACCUAGUCUCACUCAACUCAGUUGAUGGCAUCUCUAUCCUUCAGUUGUUCAGGUAGGAGAUGAAUGGAAGCUAUUUAUGUUCAAAGCCUAACCAUCCUGGUUUUCCUCAAAAGCUCCUCUUGGAUCAAUGUUACUACAAGUGGAAUGAAUAAACACAUUUUUGCUUUCUCUGCCAAAAACAAACUUCCUUCCCUAAGGCAGACCUAAGCCACCCAGAAAUAAACAAAACAAGUGGCUUGGCUGGCCACUCUCAUAAACUAGAGGAGGAAAACCAGUGCCACUUGCUUAUAACCACGGGGAAAAAUUCUAUUCACUCUAAUUCUUAAUAAAU